CUGCUGUGGUUGCCUUCCCUGCAAAGCUUGUUUGUGAUGCUCAUCUCUGAAAGAUGCAUAGUAUCUGCCUGCCUUCAAAUUAAAAAAAGAAUCAAAAAAAAGAAUGUAUGAACAGCAGGUAGACUGGUCAGCAGUGAUUCACUCCCUGGCAGCCAUGAUGAGAGCACCACGAGCUCAAUUCAGCCCUGCUGGAGGUGACUAUUUCUCCUUUUCCUUUCACGGUAUUGCACCUACGUUACACCAGGUAUCAAGGGAAAAUGGCUAGCAGUGAGUUCUGUAGCUUUCCCUGCUCUACAGCCCCUCUGGCUUAGCCAGCUGGAUCACACUGAAUUAGUCAAGUACUUCAUUAUCUCCCUUCUCUGCACAUUUAGC
rnacentral:lncRNA from 1 species